CUAGAUUUAAGGAUUCAAUAUGGACUGCCUCAAAUAUAAAGGGACACAUUUGCUACAUGGUCCAGAGACUUGUGUUCCUGGCCCAGAAUCUCCUUGUCCUAUCAAUUGUUGGAAAGACACUGCCUGCAUUUGCCCUUUUGCCUCUCUCUGUUCUGUACUUGCACUAUCAAAUAAAAACAAUUUCUAAUGGA